rnacentral:rRNA from 1 species
GACGGAGGAUGCAAGCGUUAUCCGGAAUGAUUGGGCGUAAAGCGUCCGCAGGUGGCAGUUCAAGUCUGCUGUCAAAGACCGGGGCUUAACUUCGGAAAGGCAGUGGAAACUGAACAGCUAGAGUAUGGUAGGGGCAGAGGGAAUUCCUGGUGUAGCGGUGAAAUGCGUAGAGAUCAGGAAGAACAUCGGUGGCGAAGGCGGCUACCUGGACAGUGACUGACGCUGAGACGCGAAAGCAUGGGUAGCAAACAGG